GGGGUGUCGAACUUGUUUGAAGCUUCAGUAGCUGAGCCAACUUAGUUUUACCUUUUUCCUGUUACACAUUUCUAUUGUCACAUAUAUUUUGAAUAUACGCAAAAUAAUUUUAAGUUUCAUCAACUGGUAUUCACUUUUUGUGAGCAAUGGAAUCAAAAGAGAGCUGGGGGACUAUUCUGUAAUGCGAUUAGAAAAUUGUUUGUGUUCACUAUAAUGCGACUUUCGCAUACAAAUUUUCGGUUUUCGCAUUUCUUUUUUCUCCUAUCGCAUUCGGGGUACUCUGUAAUUUGAAUUAGCUGUCAAACGGAUGCGAUAUUCGCAUAUUUCUUGCUAAACUCCGCAGGCUGACGCAUAAAAAAGUGGAUAAUAAACAAGGCAAGCAAACAAACCAGAAGCGAUUCGAAAUAUUGGUGGAUUUAAUGAGAAGUCACACACAUUUAUCCAAAGGGCUUUUCGAGACGGCGGACGCUAAGACCACUUCCAUUAAUCUAUGCAAAAAUUUCGACGUAAAGGCAAAAAUGCGUCGUUAUAAGUACAGCAUUUCGGGAACUGGUGGUGGUCCCUCGAAUUACUGCUCAUUGACGGAUUUGGAACAACAAGUGUGCGAUUUUUUGUCCAUGAAUAUCAAAUACUUUAAGUUUCUGCGUUCAACAAACAGCAUCGAGUGUAUCGACUGGAUUUCAAAUUAGGCUUGUUAGUAAAAAAAGCUGUAAAUGAAAAAGAGAGAAAUGAGCUGCCUUAUUGCUCAUAUGUAAGUACUCCACGUAGGAAGCGAUUACUUUUGGAAAAACAAGUGGAUAAUCAAAUGGCAUACCAAGAAAAUUCAGCCGAAGUAUUAAAAGAAAUAAUUUACAAUUUAAAAAAUAUAUUUAAAAA